GAUUGCUAAUAAAUAAAAAUUAUUUUUCUUAUAAUUUUAUUUCAGUAUGCUGCUUUCUGGUUGGAAUUUUUACUAGCUUUGUGAUGUAGUGUUUGGAAAUACUAUUUUUAAGGAGCCUGUUUAUUUUUCAUUUCUGAAAAGCAGAACCGUCGAAGACACAAAGCAGAUGCAUGGGAAACACCUCGGAAGCUAAGGACCAGAAAAAAAGAUACGGAACUGGAGGUACUGUUUCCGCUGUAACUGCUACCGCUUUGACGACGGCAAUACUGCAAGAAAAUAGACAAUAAUGAUAUAUUAUUGAGAUUAAAAUUGGGGCUCUCUCCAUGGUCCGCCGUCCGAGGGCUAAGGUAUUCCAAUGUUUUACAAUAUUUCUAUAUAAUAAUUACUUGAAAAUUUAUAUAAUCUUAAUUACUUUAAUUACUUUGACUUGGAAAUUAUACAAAUUUUCUGUGAUGAAAGGGUAAACUAUCCAAAGAAGGGUUGAAAAUGUUAGUCCCAUCACUGUUUACCAUAUAAUGGUGACACUUACCUUGAUGGACGCGAUGCACCCAACAAGUGCAACUAUGUUGCAUAGCAUGUGAUAGGCAUUGAGAAGUAAUGUCAGUGAGUGAGUCACAUGACUGGCAACGAUCUCGACGAGGAAGAAAGCAGUUGUAAAGAACAGGACUAGGUACAACUGGACCGGCUGCAAUCUUCUGAACCAUUCUUUAACAGCCAUGACCCUGGAGCAAAGGCACACGGUGAACGUUCCUAUUUUGUCCUACACACCGUAUGAAUACGCAACAUCACACCGAUUUCUUCUAACAACCGAUCGGUUACCGUUGCUCUGUCGCACUCUUUUACGGUAAUCUUAGCUUUUUCUUUUUCUUUUUCUCACAACUCUUUGAGAAGCUGAAAUUUAGAAACAAUAUAUUUCGAACAAAUUUCCUACUUA